AGGAAUUUUCGGCAAUGGAGGAAACUCUGACCGAGCAACGCCGCGUGAACGAUGAAGUAUUUAGGUACGUAAAGUUCUUUUAUUAAAGAAGAAAAAAUGAUGGAAAAAUCAUUCUGACGGUAUUUAAUGAAUAAGCCCCGGCUAACUAUGUGCCAGCAGCUGCGGUAAUACAUGGGGGGCAAGCGUUAUCCGGAUUUAUUGGGCGUAAAGGGUGCGUAGGCGGUUAAAUAAGUCUAUGGUAUAAGUUCAACGCUUAACGUUGUGAUGCUAUAGAAACUGUUUGACUAGAGUUGGAUAGAGGCAAGUGGAAUUCCAUGUGUAGCGGUAAAAUGCGUAAAUAUAUGGAGGAACACCAGUAGCGAAGGCGGCUUGCUGGGUCUUAACUGACGCUGAGGCACGAAAGCGUGGGGAGCAAACAG
rnacentral:rRNA from 1 species